AACAAGCAAAGCUAUCAAAAUGUCAACGCUUCUUGGCACCACAAGCAGUUGCGAGGAAAAUGAUAACCCAGAGGGGAAUGAAAGGAUGGCUCGUCGCCUCCGCUACGUCAGUUCGUCCUCCUGCGAUUGUUCGGCAAGACGGCGAACCUGCGCUACCAUCGCCGAUGCGGAGCCGCUCUAGGUCGGCUGGUCUUCCCCGCGCUCUCCGGAGCGGCGUAAUACUGUCCAUCGCCGAGAGUACCGUAUGUGCAUUAUUUGGUCGUCAGCAAUAGCCGAUGUGGAGUAGCAUAUCAGAACCAAAACGAAGUCUGGUCCCAGAAGGUAAAUUACUACUUGAAUCAAACGCCAACAUCAUCAGACAUCGAGGUGAAAAGGAUGAUAAAAUUCAUCAUAAUCAUCAUCUAUUUGGUUUUUA